rnacentral:rRNA from 1 species
GACGAACCGUGCAAACGUUGUUCGGAAUCACUGGGCUUAAAGGGCGCGUAGGCGGUCGACCAAGUCCGGGGUGAAAUCUUUCGGCUUAACCGGAAAAGUGCCUUGGAUACUGGCCGGCUGGAGGGAGGUAGGGGCAGGUGGAACUUCCAGUGGAGCGGUGAAAUGCGUUGAUAUCUACAGGAACUCCGGUGGCGAAAGCGGCGUGCUGGACCUCUUCUGACGCUGAGGCGCGAAAGCUAGGGGAGCAAACAGG